AAACGUAGGGUGCAAGCGUUGUCCGGAAUUACUGGGUGUAAAGGGAGCGCAGGCGGACCGGCAAGUUGGAAGUGAAAACUAUGGGCUCAACCCAUAAAUUGCUUUCAAAACUGCUGGCCUUGAGUAGUGCAGAGGUAGGUGGAAUUCCCGGUGUAGCGGUGGAAUGCGUAGAUAUCGGGAGGAACACCAGUGGCGAAGGCGACCUACUGGGCACCAACUGACGCUGAGGCUCGAAAGCAUGGGUAGCAAACAGGAUUAGAUACCCUGGUAGUCCACACCGUAAACGAUGAAUGCCAGACGUCAGCAAGCAUGCUUGUUGGUGUCACACCUAACGGAUUAAGCAUUCCGCCUGGGGAGUACGGUCGCAAGAUUAAAACUCAAAGGAAUUGACGGGGCCCGCACAAGCGGUGGAGCAUGUGGUUUAAUUCGAAGCAACGCGCAGAACCUUACCAACCCUUGACAUCCUCGGACCGCCAGAGAGAUCUGGUUUUCU
rnacentral:rRNA from 1 species